UACGUAGGUGGCAAGCGUUGUCCGGAUUUACUGGGCGUAAAGGGCGUGCAGGCGGUUUGUUAAGUGCAGGGUGAAAGCUCCCGGCUCAACUGGGAGAGGUCCUUGCAUACUGGCAAACUCGAGGGAGGCAGAGGAAAGUGGAAUUCCCGGUGUAGUGGUGAUAUGCGUAGAUAUCGGGAGGAACACCAGUGGCGAAGGCGGUUCUCUGGGACGGUACUGACGCUGAGACGCGAAAGCGUGGGGAGCGAACAGG
rnacentral:rRNA from 1 species